rnacentral:lncRNA from 1 species
GCAGCGCCGGGGGCUGAGGAAAGGUGGGUGGCGAAGCGCCGCCGGGCGCUUGGUGGCCGCUGCCGCCGCCACUGCAGCUGUGCACGCCCGCCUCUCGGAGGAAACUUGAAGCCAGCAGUACAAGCAGGGCUGGAGGCCGAGCGGAGCCAUCCGACCUUGGGACUAGGGAAACGUGGACUUGGUGGGCUAUUCUGCGCUGAAGAGGCAGCAACGAGGGCUCGGUGGUAUUGGUGUUGGUCCUAGUGGAAUUGUCAAGAGGAUGCUUUUGAAGUGGCCCAGCAUCUUGGAAGUUCACCAUGCUUGCUUUGCAAGAGAUUCCUGACGCUGCAGUGAAAGAGGUCCAGUCAUUCCAGAGAGAACUUCAGUUUCAGACAAGUCAUCAAAUCCAGAAAGCAAGGAAAAAUACCCUGAAAGACGACUGGCAAAUCUCGGUGAAAGAGUAGACGCACUUCAUGGAUUGGAGUGAAUCUUAGAGCACCUGGUACCUUGCACAGGACCUGAUGCCUGGAGGUACAGCAGCCAUCUUGUGACCAUAAGGAGGAAAUCAACGCAUUAAGAAGGGAAAAGCUAAGAAGAUACAGAGAGCAGGGACCACUGACAACAUGAUCAAGCCACUCUACCAGGCCUUAACUUCCUAUUCCCUGACUUCUUAUUGAAAGAGACAAUAAAACUUCUCAUUUGUUU